AAAAAUUACAAAUUACUCAAAAUCAACAAAUGAUAGUGCUUUCUUCAAUUAUUACUAGAAAACAAAGCAAGUGUUGGACUUUGAAAAGAACGAAGAAAAUUUAGAAAGAAGAUUGUCAAAAAAAAUGGUCCUGAGUUUUUUGAAGAAAAUUUUCGCAUGAGCAUUUAAUCUUUCAAUAAGCUAUGCCAUCUUUUGAAAAAUAUGAAAAAGCAAGACACCUGUUUUAGGUAUGCAAUUUGUUUGAGAAAACGAAUUGCAAUUGCCUUUACUGUCUUGGCUCAUCAGCUGAAUUUAGAAGCAUUGCAAAUCUUUUUGGCGUUGGAAAGGCCACAGUUUAUACCGUUUCCUUUACAUCAAUUGCGAUUAUCCUGGACGAGUUAAUGACUCCUAUAUUUAUGCUAUAUUUAUGAAAACUCAUCACUGAAGUAGCAGUUCGAUAAUUGCAGUGCGCUAUAAGCGAACAGUAAGGUGAUCAAUGGUGUGAAA